rnacentral:rRNA from 1 species
UACGUAGGGUGCGAGCGUUGUCCGGAAUUAUUGGGCGUAAAGGGCUCGUAGGCGGUCUGUUGCGUCGGGAGUGAAAACUCAGGGCUUAACCCUGAGCCUGCUUCCGAUACGGGCAGACUAGAGGUAUGCAGGGGAGAACGGAAUUCCUGGUGUAGCGGUGGAAUGCGCAGAUAUCAGGAGGAACACCGGUGGCGAAGGCGGUUCUCUGGGAAUUACCUGACGCUGAGGAGCGAAAGCAUGGGGAGCGAACAGG